rnacentral:rRNA from 1 species
AUUGAACGCUGGCGGCAGGCCUAACACAUGCAAGUCGAACGGUAACAGGAAGAAGCUUGCUUCUUUGCUGACGAGUGGCGGACGGGUGAGUAAUGUCUGGGAAACUGCCUGAUGGAGGGGGAUAACUACUGGAAACGGUAGCUAAUACCGCAUAACGUCGCAAGACCAAAGAGGGGGACCUUCGGGCCUCUUGCCAUUGGCUGUGCCCAGAUGGGAUUAGCUAGUAGGUGGGGUAACGGCUCACCUAGGCGACGAUCCCUAGCUGGUCUGAGAGGAUGACCAGCCACACUGGAACUGAGACACGGUCCAGACUCCUACGGGAGGCAGCAGUGGGGAAUAUUGCACAAUGGGCGCAAGCCUGAUGCAGCCAUGCCGCGUGUAUGAAGAAGGCCUUCGGGUUGUAAAGUACUUUCAGCGGGGAGGAAGGGAGUAAAGUUAAUACCUUUGCUCAUUGACGUUACCCGCAGAAGAAGCACCGGCUAACUCCGUG